rnacentral:rRNA from 1 species
CCAGACUCCUACGGGAGGCAGCAGUGGGGGAUAUUGCACAAUGGGGGAAACCCUGAUGCAGCGACGCCGCGUGAGUGAAGAAGUAAUUCGUUACGUAAAGCUCUAUCAGCAGGGAAGAAAAUGACGGUACCUGACUAAGAAGCCCCGGCUAACUACGUGCCAGCAGCCGCGGUAAUACGUAGGGGGCAAGCGUUAUCCGGAUUUACUGGGUGUAAAGGGAGCGUAGACGGCAUGGCAAGUCAGAUGUGAAAGCCCGGGGCUCAACCCCGGGACUGCAUUUGAAACUGUCAGGCUGGAGUGCAGGAGAGGUAAGUGGAAUUCCUAGUGUAGCGGUGAAAUGCGUAGAUAUUAGGGGGAACACCGGUGGCGAAGGCGGCCUGCUGGACGACGACUGACGCUGAGGCUCGAAAGCGUGGGGAGCAAACAGGAUUAGAUACCCCGGUAC